UACCCGCAGCACAAGUGGUGGUCAUUAUUAUUGGGCCUAAAGCGUCCGUAGCUGGCCUGUUAGAUGCCUGGUAAAUCGAUGCGCUCAACGUAUCGAACUCCGGUAGACCGGCAGGCUUGGGACCGGGAGAGGCGUGAGCUACUCGAGGGGUAGGGGUAAAAAUCCUGUAAUCCUUCGGGGAGGACCAGUGGCGAAGGCGUCACGCUACG
rnacentral:rRNA from 1 species